UUUUUUGUCUCUUUGAAAUUUAAGUCAAUAUGGUUAAGUUUAUUCAAAAGUUUGAUUUAAGAAAAUAAGUUUUUUAAAAGUUCAAUGGCAUAAGGCCAAAGUUUCUAAUCAUUAAAACAUGUAUAAGUUUGAAAUUCACAAACAAAGAAGGUUUUGAAAAGAGGGAGAGAUUUUGAAAUUUACGAAGUGGGAGAAGAUGAAGAGACUACCCUAGGAAAAAAUUAAAAGUUAAGGGUUGGAAAGGUCUGACCAAUGGGAUGCAAUCCAACAGACAAGAAUGUCAUAUAGAAACCCAUUUUCCUUGGGACUUUGAUAAGCAAUAAGCAAUAAGCAAUAAGCAAUAAGCAAUAUCCAAUCAUCAUAUGAAGAUCAAGGCAUCAAAUAAAGAUGGCCACAAUAUCCAAGCAAGCAACGCCAAUAGCAAGCAUUCUUCAACUUCUUCCAAUGCAUCAUAUGAAAUAUUCCUUUGUCAACUCAGAACAAUAAUCAGACAUCAACAAUAA
rnacentral:lncRNA from 1 species